AUACCAAGGCGCUUGAGAGAACUCGGGUGAAGGAACUAGGCAAAAUGGUGCCGUAACUUCGGGAGAAGGCACGCUGACACGUAGGUGAAGUGAUUUACUCAUGGAGCUGAAGUCAGUCGAAGAUACCAGCUGGCUGCAACUGUUUAUUAAAAACACAGCACUGUGCAAACACGAAAGUGGACGUAUACGGUGUGACGCCUGCCCGGUGCCGGAAGGUUAAUUGAUGGGGUCAGCGCAAGCGAAGCUCCUGAUCGAAGCCCCGGUAAACGGCGGCCGUAACUAUAACGGUCCUAAGGUAGCGAAAUUCCUUGUCGGGUAAGUUCCGACCUGCACGAAUGGCGUAAUGAUGGCCAGGCUGUCUCCACCCGAGACUCAGUGAAAUUGAACUCGCUGUGAAGAUGCAGUGUACCCGCGGCAAGACGGAAAGACCCCGUGAACCUUUACUAUAGCUUGACACUGAACAUUGAGCCUUGAUGUGUAGGAUAGGUGGGAGGCUUUGAAGUGUGGACGCCAGUCUGCAUGGAGCCGACCUUGAAAUACCACCCUUUAAUGUUUGAUGUUCUAACGUGGACCCGUGAUCCGGGUUGCGGACAGUGUCUGGUGGGUAGUUUGACUGGGGCGGUCUCCUCCUAAAGAGUAACGGAGGAGCACGAAGGUUGGCUAAUCCUGGUCGGACAUCAGGAGGUUAGUGCAAUGGCAUAAGCCAGCUUGACUGCGAGCGUGACGGCGCGAGCAGGUGCGAAAGCAGGUCAUAGUGAUCCGGUGGUUCUGAAUGGAAGGGCCAUCGCUCAACGGAUAAAAGGUACUCCGGGGAUAACAGGCUGAUACCGCCCAAGAGUUCAUAUCGACGGCGGUGUUUGGCACCUCGAUGUCGGCUCAUCACAUCCUGGGGCUGAAGUAGGUCCCAAGGGUAUGGCUGUUCGCCAUUUAAAGUGGUACGCGAGCUGGGUUUAGAACGUCGUGAGACAGUUCGGUCCCUAUCUGCCGUGGGCGCUGGAGAACUGAGGGGGGCUGCUCCUAGUACGAGAGGACCGGAGUGGACGCAUCACUGGUGUUCGGGUUGUCAUGCCAAUGGCACUGCCCGGUAGCUAAAUGCGGAAGAGAUAAGUGCUGAAAGCAUCUAAGCACGAAACUUGCCCCGAGAUGAGUUCUCCCUGAGACUUUAAGUCUCCUGAAGGAACGUUGAAGACGACGACGUUGAUAGGCCGGGUGUGUAAGCGCAGCGAUGCGUUGAGCUAACCGGUACUAAUGAACCGUGAGGCUUAACCUUACA
rnacentral:rRNA from 1 species